rnacentral:rRNA from 1 species
UGGGAGGGGCAACCGGAAUUCCUGGUGUAACGGUGAAAUGUGUAGAUAUCAGGAGGAACACCCGUGGCGAAGGCGGGUUGCUGGACCAAAACUGACGCUGAGACGCGAAAGCGUGGGUAGCAAACAGGAUUAGAUACCCUGGUAGUCCACGCUGUAAACGAUGAGUGCUAGGUGUAGGGGGUAUCGACUCCUUCUGUGCCGCAGCUAACGCAUUAAGCACUCCGCCUGGGGAUUACGGCCGCAAGGUUAAAACUC